AUAAGUGGGAGCUUCGGCGCAA
rnacentral:snRNA from 1 species